UACGAAGGGUGCAAGCGUUGUUCGGAAUCAUUGGGCGUAAAGCGCGCGCAGGCGGAUUGUUAAGUCAGGGGUGAAAUCUCGAGGCUCAACCUCGAAACUGCGCCUGAAACUAUUAGUCUAGAAUGUCGGAGGGGGCAGGGGAAUUUCACGUGUAGGGGUAAAAUCCGUAGAGAUGUGAAGGAACACCGGAGGCGAAGGCGCCUGCCUGGACGACUAUUGACGCUGAGGCGCGAAAGCGUGGGGAGCAAACAGG
rnacentral:rRNA from 1 species